rnacentral:rRNA from 1 species
UACGAAGGGAGCUAGCGUUGUUCGGAAUCACUGGGCGUAAAGCGCACGUAGGCGGACUUGUCAGUCAGGGGUGAAAUCCCGGGGCUCAACCUCGGAACUGCCUUUGAUACUGGGUAUCUCGAGUAUGGAAGAGGUGAGUGGAAUUCCGAGUGUAGAGGUGAAAUUCGUAGAUAUUCGGAGGAACACCAGUGGCGAAGGCGGCUCACUGGUCCAUUACUGACGCUGAGGUGCGAAAGCGUGGGGAGCAAACAGG